UACGUAGGUGGCAAGCGUUGUCCGGAAUUAUUGGGCGUAAAGCGCGCGCAGGCGGUCCUUUAAGUCUGAUGUGAAAGCCCACGGCUCAACCGUGGAGGGUCAUUGGAAACUGGGGGACUUGAGUACAGAAGAGAAGAGUGGAAUUCCACGUGUAGCGGUGGAAUGCGUAGAGAUCCGGAAGAACACCAGUGGCGAAGGCGGCCCGCUGGGCAGUGGCUGACGCUGAGGCGCGACAGCGUGGGGAGCAAACAGG
rnacentral:rRNA from 1 species